rnacentral:rRNA from 1 species
UGGGGGAUAUUGCACAAUGGGCGAAAGCCUGAUGCAGCGACGCCGCGUGGGGGAUGAAGGCCUUCGGGUUGUAAACUUCUUUUGCUCUGAACAAGGCAUGCCUUUGGGGUGUGUUGAGUGUAGGGGUUGAUUAGCGCCGGCUAACUACGUGCCAGCAGCCGCGGUAAUACGCAGGGCGCGAGCGUUUUCCGGAAUUAUUGGGCGUAAAGGGCUUGUAGGUGGCUGGUUGCGUCUGUCGUGAAAGCUCAUGGCUUAACUGUGGGUUUGCGGUGGGUACGGGCUGGCUUGAGUGCAGUAGAGGAGGCUGGAAUUCCUGGUGUAGCGGUGGAAUGCGCAGAUAUCAGGAGGAAUACCGGUGGCGAAGGCGGGUCUCUGGGCUGUUACUGACGCUGAGGAGCGAAAGCGUGGGGAGCGAACAGG